UACGUAGGGUCCAAGCGUUAAUCGGAAUGACUGGGCGUAAAGGGUGCGCAGGCGGUUUUGUAAGACAGAUGUGAAAUCCCCGGGCUUAACCUGGGAACUGCAUAUGUGACUGCAAGGCUAGAGUGUGUCAGAGGGGGGUAGAAUUCCACGUGUAGCAGUGAAAUGCGUAGAGAUGUGGAGGAAUACCGAUGGCGAAGGCAGCCCCCUGGGACGAUACUGACGCUCAUGCACGAAAGCGUGGGGAGCAAACAGG
rnacentral:rRNA from 1 species